AGCUCCAAACUUUGUCUCUGUAACUCCUUCCAUGGGUGUUUUGUUCCCAAUUCUAAGGAGGGGCAUAGUGUCCACACUUCAGUCUUCAUUCUUCUUGAAAUAAUGAUUUCUGCAUUUCAUAAUGAGAUUUAAAACAUUUCUUAUUAACCUAUUUAAGAAGAUUAAAGGUAAGGGUGUUAAAAUAAAAAGUAAUAUAUCAAGCAAUGUUUCUUUUAAUUGUCGGAACUUUCCAACUGCCUAUUUUGGUAAUGCUGAUGUUACAAUAUUCACUUCUUAACUCAAAAAUGUUAUAUACAUGGAUAUGCAGAAUGCCAAAUAUUUAUCCUCAUAUAGACUCACUUGGGUUUACUCAGCUACUCAAAUGAGUCACUGACUUGAAUGAGCUACCAUUCUUCCUGAACUCCAGUUUCUCUGGAGGUUCUUUUAGAUCAGAAGUCAGUACCCUACAACUAACUGGUAAGAUCACAACACUUGUUAGUCUAAGAACUAUGAAUGGCCUUUGGACUUUGUAGUAAGUAGUUUAAAGGGAGAAACAAAAUAAAUACCUACAGUGAACCUCUGUGGUCUGUAAAGCUGCACUGACUACCACCCGACCUCCCUUGCAAUGCUUAUAUGUAUUACGCAUUAUUAAAUAAUUACACUACUUAAAACUUAGAAAAUCUUUACUUCAAUUAUUAAAAUGUCUUUAUCCUUGUUAGUUUAGUGUUCUUAAAAGAAACAGCUCAAGAAGCUAUAUGUUUUAUCAGCUGUCUUUUUAUAUAUGAAAACAAGCUUAAAGAAAUUCCCCUCACCAAAUUCUUUUCUGGGAUAAUUAACCUGUACAGUAGUACCUUUGGUAUUGAUGUAUUUGAAAAGUUUGUUAAAAUAAUUUAUGAAAGAACUAAAUAAUUUGCAUAUAUACAUUUGUUUUAUGAAUAAAAUAGCAAUUGUAAUAUUAUACUUUCUUCUAUUUAGAUAGAGGCAGAUCUGGGAUAUCCUGGAGGUAAAGCAAGAAUUAUUCAUAAGGAAUCUGAUAUCAUUACUGCCUUUGCUGUUAAUAGGGUAAGUAAAUAGAUAGUUGUCUUUUCUAUGACUUGUAACUAUUUCUUUUGUUGUUGUUGUUGUUUUUCGAGACAGGUUUCUCUGUGUAGCCUUGGCUGUCCUGGAACUCACUCUGUAGACCAGGCUGGCCUCGAACUCAGAAAUUCGCCUGCCUCUGCCUCCCGAGUGCUGGGAUUAAAGGCAUGCACCACCACACCCUGCAUAACUAUUUCUUAUUGGAGAACAUCUUACCAGUUCACUUAAUGAUAGUGUUCUACUUCCAAAUCUACUUCCCAUUCCUCAAAUUAUUAUCUCAGUAAGAUUUGUCUUUAGUAAAACUACUAUAUAAUUUACUAAUGUAGUUUUGUUAUUGGGAAAUAUAAUAAACUUUUAUUGCCACACAGAGAGUAGUAUUAGGUAUUUGAAUAUCAACCAAUAACUUUAAAAAUAUAUGCAAGAUAAUAUAUUAGUUAAUCCAAAAAGGCUUUCUAGGGUCUUAUAUGAGCUUAUUGUAUAUAAUUCUAGAGCUUAAACUCAUGCAUUAGAAGACCUCCUUCUUUGGUGUAUUUCUGUAAAAAUUGUUUGUCUUCUCAGUAGUUGUUAUUUGUCUGCUUAAGAUCCUCCUUAGAGAGAUUUGUAAGCUCCUGGAGAAGAGCUCAGUCUUACUUAUAACAGUCCAAGGUGAAGUUUGUCUAAAUCAGGUCCCACUUGAAUUUCCCUAAAUUGCCAUACAGCAUAGUUUCUAGUGUCUCACUGUUGUUGUUUUUUUUUCCUUUUCAUUUAAAAGGAUAGGAUUAUAAUUUUUUCAUGUGUACGUAAAGGAUGCUUAAGAUAAUGUGUAUGCACAUAUUUAUUUUUAAUUUUACAAUAUUAUCCAGCCAGGCCAUUCUUGGAAAUCCUUGCUUUAUGUAAGACUCCUGCUUCAGCCUCUGAGUAUCUGGACUACAAGCAUGCUAUCAAAAAAUGUUAUAUGAUAUAUGUCUUGUAAAAGUUACCCAGAAAUCCUUUUACCAAUAGAUUGUUCAUCUUUAUAGUCUGCACUUGUCUUCAUAACUUUCUCUAACCAGUUUUUUUAGCCAUUCUGUUCUUAUAUUCCCUGUAUCCUUCAUCUCACCUCUUUCAUAAACAUCCUUCACCAUGGACUUUUAAAUCAGGCAGAAGUGCAGUUAAUCCCUUAGGUAUUUCUCAAGUUGUAAUAUCUCUGUGUCUGUUACUGUCCUCACCCUAUGAUGUCUUCUUUCCCCUUAAAAAGUCAGUCUGAGUUUAAGGACAGCCAAGGCUACUAAGAAACCUUGUCCAAAAAAAAAGUAUGAGUAACCAGGAAUGAAUAGUCAUCCACAGAUAUAAAAUCUGUUGCUCACGUGUAUACACAUAAUUACAUCAUUUCUCUACAUGUGAUAUUAUAGUUUUACAUUCUUCCAAAUUUGGAGAUUUUAUUAUCUAUAAAUUCUGCCUGCAUCAGAAGAGAGCACCGGAUCUCAUUAUAGGUGGUUGAGAGCCACCAUGUGUUUGCUGGCAAUUGAACUUAGGAUAUCUGGAAGAGCACCUAGUGCUCUUAACCUCUGAGCCUUCUCUCCAGCCCCCACAUACCAUGUUUUUAAAAUGGCAUUAAGAUUGAAAUUUCUUCAUUUCUUUUUUUUUUUUUUUCCAUUUUUUAUUAGGUAUUUAACUCAUUUACAUUUCCAAUGCUAUACC
rnacentral:lncRNA from 1 species